rnacentral:tRNA from 1 species
GGGGUGUUAGCUCAGCAGGUAGAGCAACUGACUCUUAAUCAGUGGGUCUAGGGUUCGAUUCCCUAACACCCCA